GCCGGGUGUGGUGGCUCAUGCCUGUAAUCCCAGUGGCUUGGGAGGCUGAGUCAGGAGGAGAGGAUCACGAGUUCAAAGCCAGCCUCAGCAAUGGCAAGGUGCUGAGCAACUCAGUAAGACCCUGUCUCUA
rnacentral:sRNA from 1 species